AACAUCGCGCACCUGCGGGAACCUGCGGAGGGAUCAUUACAGAGUUGCAAAACUCCCUAAACCAUUGUGAACGUUACCUAAACCGUUGCUUCGGCGGGCGGCCCGGGUCCUUCCCGGCGCCCCUCGGCCCUCGCGGGCGCCCGCCGGAGGUAAACCAAACUAUUGCAUUGUAUGGCCUCUCUGAGUCUUCUGUACCGAAUAAGUCAAAACUUUUAGCAAUGGAUCUCAGAUCGGAAGAGC
rnacentral:misc_RNA from 1 species